GCCCAGGUGGUGGAAUUGGUAGACACGCAGGACUUAAAAUCCUGUUCCAGCAAUGGAGUGCGGGUUCGAUUCCCGCCUUGGGCACCA
rnacentral:tRNA from 1 species